rnacentral:rRNA from 1 species
UACGGGGGGGGCAAGCGUUGUUCGGAAUUACUGGGCGUAAAGGGCUCGUAGGCGGCCAACUAAGUCCGACGUGAAAUCCCAAGGCUUAACCUUGGAACUGCGUCGGAUACUGGAUGGCUUGAAAUCGGGAGAGGGAUGCAGAAUUCCAGGUGUAGCGGUGAAAUGCGUAGAUAUCUGGAGGAAUACCGGUGGCGAAGGCGGCAUCCUGGACCGGCAUUGACGCUGAGGAGCGAAAGCCAGGGGAGCAAACAGG